UACAGAGGUCUCAAGCGUUGUUCGGAUUCAUUGGGCGUAAAGAGCGUGUAGGCGGCUCGAUAAGUCCGCUGUGAAAGUCCAGGGCUCAACCCUGGAAGGCCGGUGGAAACUGUCGGGCUAGAGUGCGGUAGAGGAUGGCGGAAUUCCCGGUGUAGCAGUGAAAUGCGUAGAGAUCGGGAGGAACAUCUGUGGCGAAGGCGGCUAUCUGGACCGUAACUGACGCUGAGGCGCGAAAGCGUGGGGAGCAAACAGG
rnacentral:rRNA from 1 species